rnacentral:lncRNA from 1 species
GUGGAUGGGACAGAGGAAAUUUCAUAAAUUCUAAAUUUACUUUGAAGAAAUCCCAAAAAUCCCAGGUGGAUGGGGCAGAGGGAAUCCUCUAAAUUCUAAAUUUACUUUGAAGAAAUCCCAAAAAUCACAGGUGGAUGGGACAGAGAAAAGCCUCUAAAUUCUAAAUUUACUUUCAGGAAGUCCCAAAAAUCACAGGUGGAUGGGACAGAAGAAAUCUUCUAAAUUUCCUUUCAGGAAAUCCCAAAAUCACAGGUGGAUGGGGCAGAGAAAAGCCUCUAAAUUCUAAAUUUGCUUUCAAGAAAUCCCAAAAAUCCCAGGUGGAUGGGACAGAAGAAAUCCUCUAAAUUUACUUUGAUGAAAUCCCAAAAUCACAGAUGGAUGGGAACAGAGGAAAUCUCAUAAAUUCUAAAUUCCCUUUCAAGAAGUCCCAAAAAUCACAGGUGGAUGGGACAGAGGGAAUCCUCUAAAUUUACUUUGAAGAAAUCCCAAAAUCACAGGUGGAUGGGACAGAGGAAAUGUCAUAAAUUCUAAAUUUACUUUAAGAAAAUCCCCAAAAUCACAGGUGGAUGGGGCAGAAGAAAUCCUCUAAAUUCUAAAUUUACUUUCAAGAGGUCCCCAAAAUCACAGGUGGAUGGGAACAGAGGAAAUCUCAUAAAUUCUAAAUUCCCUUUCAAGAAGUCCCAAAAAUCCCAGGUGGAUGGGACAGAGGAAUCCCCUAAAUUUCAAAUUCCCAUUGAAACAUUUAAAUUCCCUUUUCUUUCCCAAAUCCCAUGGAUGGGUGCUGGAUAACCUUGACAAGCUGAGCUCCCUCAGGGUUUGGAUGAGCAUUUUGGAGCUCUGAAGGUGCCAGACCAGGAGAUUUUCACUAAAACAGGAGAUUUUCACUGGGAGCUCCUUCUCUCCUGGGAAUGUGUGUGGGCAGAAUCACAAAGGAGCUCUCCAGCAGGUCCUGCCUUACUGGUUUGAACUGGCAGCCUGCCUCUGCCAAGUGGUACGACCGCAGGGAUUUCGUCUUCGUGGAGUUCUGUGUGGAGGACAGCAAAGAUGUAAAUGUCAAUUUUGAAAAGUCCAAACUCACCUUCAGGUCAGCAAUUCCGGCACAAAACCCAGCAAAACAUUGAUUUCUUUGGGGGCUAAAUUCUGAUUUAUUUUGGGGUGAAAUAUUGAUUUAUUUGGGGGAUAAAUUCUGAUUUUUUGGGGCUAAAUUCUGAUUUUUUGGGGCUAAAUUUUGAUUUAUUUUAGGGCUAAAUUUUGAUUUAUUUUGGGGUGAAAUAUUAAUUUUUUGGGGUUAAAUAUUGAUUUAUUUUGGGGUUAAAUAUUGAUUUAUUGGGGUUAAAUAUUGAUUUAUUUUGGGGUGAAAUAUUCAUUUUUGGGGGUUAAACAUUGAAUUAUUUGGGGCUAAAUUCUGAUUUUUUGGGGCUAAAUUCUGAUUUAUUUUGGGGUGAAAUAUUAAUUUUUUGGGGUUAAAUAUUGAUUUAUUUUGGAGAUAAAUUCUGAUUUAUUUUGGGGCUAAAUACUGAUUUAUUUUGGGGUGAAAUAUUAAUUUUUUGGGGUUAAAUAUUGAUUUUUUUGGGGCUAAAUUCUGAUUUUUUGGGGCUAAAUUCUGAUUUAUUUUGGAGCUAAAUUCUGAUUUAUUUUGGGGUUAAAUUCUGAUUUAUUUUGGGGAUAAAUUCUGAUUUUUUGGGGGCUAAAUUCUGAUUUAUUUUGGGGUGAAAUAUUGAUUUUUUGGGGUUAAAUAUUGAUUUAUUUUGGAGCUAAAUUCUGAUUUAUUUUGGAGCUAAAUUCUGAUUUAUUUUGGAGCUGAAUUCUGAUUUAUUUUGGGGUGAAAUAUUAAUUUUUGGGGGUUAAACAUUGAAUUAUUUGGGGCUAAAUUCUGAUUUAUUUUGGGGUUAAAUAUUGAUUUAUUUUGGGGUGAAAUGAUAAUUUUUUGGGGUUAAAUAUUGAUUUAUUUUGGGAAUAAAUUCUGAUUUUUUAGGGCUAAAUUCUGAUUU